rnacentral:rRNA from 1 species
GACGAACGCUGGCGGCGUGCUUAACACAUGCAAGUCGAACGGAAAGGCCCUGCUUUUGUGGGGUGCUCGAGUGGCGAACGGGUGAGUAACACGUGAGUAACCUGCCCUUGACUUUGGGAUAACUUCAGGAAACUGGGGCUAAUACCGGAUAGGAGCUCCUGCUGCAUGGUGGGGGUUGGAAAGUUUCGGCGGUUGGGGAUGGACUCGCGGCUUAUCAGCUUGUUGGUGGGGUAGUGGCUUACCAAGGCUUUGACGGGUAGCCGGCCUGGGAGGGUGACCGGCCACCUUGGGACUGAGAUACGGCCCAGUCUCCUACGGGAGGCAGCAGUGGGGAAUAUUGCACAAUGGGCGGAAGCCUGAUGCAGCAACGCCGCGUGCGGGAUGACGGCCUUCGGGUUGUAAACCGCUUUCGCCUGUGACGAAGCGUGAGUGACGGUAAUGGGUAAAGAAGCACCGGCUAACUACGUG